ensembl:lncRNA
GUCCAUGGGGUUGCAAAGAGUCGGACAUGACCGAGUGACUGAACUGAACUGAAUCUUCAGUUCUAGGGUCAGUUUGGUUCCAUUUCUUUGAAGCCAGUUCUUGGAAUUGUGGCAUUUUAAGUCACAGCUGCAGUCUGGUCAUCAUGUAGUUAAUUUCUUCCACCUGGUGGGGGUUUCAGUAUCUUUAAGACAGCUCACAGGAGAUGGUUCAGAAUAUUAUCUACGGCCCUUGAGAAGGAACUAAAGGACCUUGACUAUACUUAAUGACUACAUUAUUAUUAUUUGGUCUGCUUGGGGCUGUUUUCCUUUGUUUUUGCAUGUUCUCAUUUCUCUGAAUACACUUAUCCUUUGACUGAAGUUUUCCACAGACAAAGGGCAGGCAAGGACACGGAGAGGCAAGGACCAUAGCGUCCUGCUCCAUUUCGCGAUGAACAAUCUUUACUUUGAAAUGUAUUAAAUAAAAAAUAAAAAAAUGUUUGUCCAAACAGUUAGCAGGAAGAAAUAGCCUGAAGCAGUUUUCUAAAGCUGUAAUGCUCUUAGUAAUUAUUUUUUCUUGUUAAGGGUUCAGUGUGACACGGCAUACAAAGGUCCUUCUCGUGUGUCAUUGGAGCCAAUAGAACAAGAUGGAGUCCGGCUCAGAAGCAAAGUUCUUUUCUCUGAUCAGAGAAUGGAGAGGUGUGAGCUCGAUCUAGAGGAGCGGUCCCCAACCUUUAUGGCACAGGGACCAGUUUCAUGGAAGACAGUUUUUCCAAGAACCAGGAGUAGGGAGGAUGGUUUGGGGAUGAGUCAAGGACGUUACAUUUACUGUGGACUUUGCUUCUAAUCCAAUGCUGCUGCUAAUCUGACAGGAGGUAUUGAUCUGUGGCCCAGAGAUUGGCGACACCUGCUCCAGAGCAUACGUGGACAGGUGAAUUCUUUACCCAAUUGUCUGCAGCCAGCCUGGAGGAGGGGGUGAGGGGGCGGAGUAACCCCCUCAGUGCAGCUGCACUUCUUAUGCUCCGGAUUGCAGUGGGAGACACGGCAUCUCUGCACAUGGUGUGGUGUCUGCUGGGCAUGUGGACGCCAACUCCAUCUCGACUCCAGGAGCCACUCACCAACGCCACCUUGAAUGGAGGAUCCAUUCUCAGAGCAAGUACAUGGCCACUCCCUGAGGUACUGGCGCCGCUGUUUCACACCAGGAAUGCUCAUCUGAAAGGCUGGGUGUGAGACCUCUGCACAUAUCCCCCUGUGACAAAGAAUGUAGCACCAUGGCCACUGCUAGUCCUAACGUUAACAUUGAGGUUUAUAAUCCAUUUUCUGCCUUUUCUGGCUGCUGCUGUUAUUAUUAAGGCGCAGGCUGGAGGGGCUCCAGGGCCACACACAGACAGCCUUCUGUGUGACAGUAUCUUUUAUGGAGCAGAGCAAAGACAGUCCACACCCUCAAAAAGGGAGGGAGGCCAGAAAUGAAGCGAAGCCGUAGAAUACCCCUCAUUAUCCUAACCACCCACGGAACCAGGAAAUGGCAGUUCAAGUCCUGGCUGCAGACUGGUGAAAGGAACGGCUGAAUAAUGGAUAAGCACCGUGAAGUUAAAAUAUGGUGACUUGAAGAAGACGAAUACUAGUUAUUGUGGGUUUUUUUUUUUUUCUUUCUUUCUUUCUUUUUUUCAAAGUAGAACCUGCUUAUCCAUGUCUCUGACUUUCAGGAAUGGUACCUCAUCUACCCCACCCUUACAAUCGCCACUGGCUCUGUGUUUUAAGGGAACAGCCUUUGUCUUAAGGAGCGUGCCAGGUCUAACCAAGCCCACUUUCUAAACUUCCUGUCUGCUGCUCCACUACCUGCGAGGCACUUCCUUUUCCAUCUUCGUUUUCCUGAGACCCUUCCCCCUCAUACUGCCAUCUUCCAUAUUGUUGGUUGCCUUCUUCCCUCUCCUCCCUUCCCGUCCCCGCCCUCACCUUGUUUGGUAUGUUGCUUGGGUUUCCCCUCAUUUUGGACCAGACACUUUCACUUUUCUCUUUUUAAAGUUUUUAGGUUCCCUAUCCUCCUCCAGAGUUUUUCUUUGCUGAGUCAACAACAUGGCCGCCCUCUCCUCCUGGGUUUCCCUCAUGUCUCCCUGGGAGCAGCCUGGCCGUGCCCCGAUCUCACCAAGGCGGCUGCCUUUGUAGUACAACUUGGCAGACAGCUCUCUUCUUCCUGGAACUCCUGCCAGGAGACACUGGUCUCUGAAGUUGCCCCAGGAGAACGCUCCUUGUCACUGAGUAGUACAUUCAAGUGCAUAGGUCACCGGGAAGGAUAAGACCAUAAUUUAAUUUAUCCCCAAGCAGUCGGUGCUUCUCAAAUCCCAAAGAAUUAAGAGUCUAAUAUAGUCCUCCUGCAUAUUUGCAUAAAUAAAUGAAUUGAUAAUUGAGGGCAGUGGCAGGAGAGGAUGGAAGAGUAUUGAAGACCUUGCCCAUUUCUCGCAGUUUUGCUGAGGGCUGGCUCUAGGCUGUGGAAAAAAAAAUCCCUAACCUUGCAUACCCAUGCUGAUUGCAUUCAUUAAAUAGCUUGAUUUUGGCUGCCACUUUCUGUAACUGUUUCUGUUACUGUCAUUUUUUUUUUUUUUGACUAUAAAAAUUUUAGAAUAUGUUUCCUGAAAAAAAAUUUUUUUUAAACAGAGCCUUAAGCUUUUCAGAGUAAAUGUACUACAUGAAGCUACUAAAUCAAUCAAAGUGGCAACACAGCUUUAUGGAGCAUUUUUAUUAGUUAUAUAGUUCAUUUUUUCUUCCAGGUUCUAUAUGAGCUAUGAGG